AGUGAACGCUGGCGGUAGGCCUAACACAUGCAAGUCGAACGGCAGCACAGUAAGAGCUUGCUCUUACGGGUGGCGAGUGGCGGACGGGUGAGGAAUACAUCGGAAUCUACUUUUUCGUGGGGGAUAACGUAGGGAAACUUACGCUAAUACCGCAUACGACCUACGGGUGAAAGCAGGGGAUCUUCGGACCUUGCGCGAUUGAAUGAGCCGAUGUCGGAUUAGCUAGUUGGCGGGGUAAGGGCCCACCAAGGCGACGAUCCGUAGCUGGUCUGAGAGGAUGAUCAGCCACACUGGAACUGAGACACGGUCCAGACUCCUACGGGAGGCAGCAGUGGGGAAUAUUGGACAAUGGGCGCAAGCCUGAUCCAGCCAUACCGCGUGGGUGAAGAAGGCCUUCGGGUUGUAAAGCCCUUUUGUUGGGAAAGAAGAGCAGCAGGUUAAUACCCCGCUGUUCUGACGGUACCCAAAGAAUAAGCACCGGCUAACUUCGUG
rnacentral:rRNA from 1 species